AGUAACGCGUAGGUAACCUGCCUGGUAGCGGGGGAUAACUAUUGGAAACGAUAGCUAAUACCGCAUAAGAGUAGAUGUUGCAUGACAUUUGCUUAAAAGGUGCAAUUGCAUCACUACCAGAUGGACCUGCGUUGUAUUAGCUAGUUGGUGGGGUAACGGCUCACCAAGGCGACGAUACAUAGCCGACCUGAGAGGGUGAUCGGCCACACUGGGACUGAGACACGGCCCGG
rnacentral:rRNA from 1 species